UACGGAGGGGGCUAGCGUUGUUCGGAAUUACUGGGCGUAAAGCGCACGUAGGCGGCUUUGUAAGUUAGAGGUGAAAGCCCGGAGCUCAACUCCGGAAUUGCCUUUAAGACUGCAUCGCUUGAAUCAUGGAGAGGUGAGUGGAAUUCCGAGUGUAGAGGUGAAAUUCGUAGAUAUUCGGAAGAACACCAGUGGCGAAGGCGACUCACUGGACAUGUAUUGACGCUGAGGUGCGAAAGCGUGGGGAGCAAACAGGAUUAGAAACCCUGUAGUCC
rnacentral:rRNA from 1 species